UUCUGAGUAGUCUACAUACGGGCUUUUUUGAAAUGAGGCUUGAGCUGGUUUCAGACUCAAACUGGUAUUAAUUGCCAACCACUGUGAUACUUUUAGGGUAUUAGGGAUGUGUAUGUUGGAGGACAGGAGAAAAAUGGAGAUUACCUAGAGAUGAGAGAUUAAAGUCCUGCGUCAGGGAAUUUGGGGCUGAGAGGCAAAACUGAAUUCUUUUAUUAAACAUGUUCCAGAGAAACAAGAGUGAAAGCUUCAAAACAUGAAAAGGAUACUGAGGAAGACCACAACAUAGGAAAAUACGAUGAGAAGUUGGCAGUCUGCAUCUCCGAAGAGAGCCCUCACAGAACUUGACCAUGCUGGCACUUUGCUCUUGGACUUCCA
rnacentral:lncRNA from 1 species